rnacentral:rRNA from 1 species
GACGAACGCUGGCGGCGUGCUUAACACAUGCAAGUCGAACGGAAAGGCCCUGCUUUUGUGGGGUUCUCGAGUGGCGAACGGGUGAGUAACACGUGAGUAACCUGCCCUUGACUUUGGGAUAACUGCAGGAAACUGGGGCUAAUACCGGAUAGCAGCUCCUGCUGCAUGGUGGGGGUUGGAAAGUUUCGGCUGUGGGGGAUGGACUCGCGGGUUAUCAGCUUGUUGGGGGGGUAGUUGCUUACCAAGGCUUUGACGGGUAGCCGGCCUGAGAGGGUGAACGGCCACAUGGGGACUGAGAUACGGCCCAGACGCCUACGGGAGGCAGCAGGGGGGAAUAUUGUACAAUGGGCGGAAGCCUGAUGCAGCAACGCCGCGUGCGGGAUGACGGCCUUCGGGUUGUAAACCGCUUUAGCCUGUGACGAAGCGUGAGUGACGGUAAUGGGUAAAGAAGCACCGGCUAACUACGUG